rnacentral:rRNA from 1 species
UACGUAGGGUGCGAGCGUUAAUCGGAAUUACUGGGCGUAAAGCGUGCGCAGGCGGUUCGUUGUGUCGGCGGUGAAAGCCCCGGGCUCAACCUGGGAAUGGCCGUUGAAACUGGCGAACUGGAGUGUGGCAGAGGGGGGUGGAAUUCCGGGUGUAGCGGUGGAAUGCGUAGAGAUCCGGAAGAACACCGGUGGCGAAGGCGGCGACCUGGUCCGAUACUGACGCUGAGGCGCGAAAGCGUGGG